rnacentral:rRNA from 1 species
AGUGAACGCUGGCGGCAGGCCUAAUACAUGCAAGUCGAACGGACAGACAAUGAGCUUGCUCCUCUGACGUUAGCGGCGGACGGGUGGGUGACACGUGCAUCACCUACUUAUAAUACUGGGAGGACUACGGAAAACCGGAGAUGAUACCGGCGCAUAUGUUGAACGGCUUAGUUCAAUAGUGAUAGACAGUUUGCCUGUCACUUAUAGAUGGAUCCGCGCCGCAUUAGCUAGUUGGUAAGGUAACGGCUUACCAAGGCAACGAUGCGUAGCCGAUCUGAGAGGGUGAUCGGCCACACUGGAACUGAGACACGGUCCAGACUCCUACGGGAGGCAGCAGUAGGGAAUCUUCCGCAAUGGGCGCAAGCCUGACGGAGCCACGCCGCGUGAGUGAUGAAGGUCUUCGGAUUGUAAAACUCUGUUAUUAGGGAAGAACAAAUGUGUAAUUAUCUAUGCCCGUCUUGACGGUACCCAAUCAGAAAGCCACGGCUAACUACGUG